ACUUCCUGGAGCAGACUGGGCCAUGCAGGGGGGAUCUGUACCAACACAUUGGAAUUCUGGGAUGCCCGCUCUGCUCUGCUCAGUUGGCAUCACACGGCACAGCUGCCUAAUGCCGGGGAAGCCAAAUGCUCCUCUAGCCAGAGGAGACCACAGAGACUGUGGCAGGCUCAGUACCCACAGGAGAAAGAGGGAGAGGGCGGUGAUGAAGGAAGGAAGAGAGGAAAGAGAGUGAGUCAGCAAAGAGGAAGAAGAGAUGUAACAGGGCCCCAGAGGAGGUGGAAGUAGUGUUGAUAACUACUGUAUAUAGACCAGAAGAACAGCACUAUGAGGAUAUGCAUGCAUUGCAUACCUGUGAAGGUUAAAGCUAACUGUUCUACAACAAGGAACAGCAACGUACAAACACAUGUACAAACGGACCCGCCUGUUGGUUUACAGUACUUGACUUCAUCUAUAACGUGAUGGCACAGCAGGAGCCAUCCCACUAGGCAUAGACGUCAAUUCAACGUCUAUUCCAUGUUGGUUCAACAUAAUUUGAAUGAAAUGACGUGGAAACAACGUUGAUUCAACCAGUGUGUGCCCAGUCGGAUGGCAAACCCACUGGCUCCAGGUCAUCUACAAGACCCUGCUAGGAGAGCCAACUCUGGGUCUUCUGAUUAGAAUCAGGCCACAAUCCAUAGAAAUCUAGACAGAGGACCAGAGUGACCCAGAGACGGAGCCAAGAGUCCCAGCUGCAACAGCGGCCAGCUGGGCCAGAAGCGCCCCAGAUAGGAGUGACUGAUAGAGAGCCUGGUCCCUGCUGUGGAUGUCUGGAGACUGGACACAGACCUUUAGACUCCUUCAGCCAAGAGCAUGGUCACUACAGUCGUCGUCACUGGAUCACUGGAUCCUAAACCUCUGCUCGAGAACCCCUGGCCAUUUCCACUUUUUGGAUCAUUCCUUAACAAGCACACCUGAUUAGGUUAUUUCUGAUUAGGUUAUUUGUUUAAUCAGCUGUGGUAGUUAAUUAAUUUAAAAAGUGUAACUGUCCAGGGUAUUCGUAACUAGUUUUUAUAUCCAUGUGGCUGAAGAAUAAUGUAUUCAACCUUUAUGCUGAGUAGAGAGUCCUGAAAUACCAAACCAAUGCAUACUGUUCUGUUCUUUUUAUGAGUGAGU
rnacentral:lncRNA from 1 species